AAAGCAGCUGCCACAAAUAUGUUUAAAGAUAUAUCACUAUUUGCAAACAAUUUUUCUUCAUCAACAUAAUCUAAACUGGACAAAUUCCUCGCUGAUUGAUACCAGUUUCACUACGAAGGUUACACUUGAUUCUGCUGUGGUGCCUGUGGAAACAAAGUACAUGAAGUUUGUACUGAGGUGGGAAAACCCUGUGGAUCACAUGGUGGGACUUCUGCUUCAAACUGCUCACUACAGUUUACCACUGCCUCUGUCAUCCACCAGUUCAAUGCAGACUGGCACCAGUUCACUGCAGACUGGCACCAGUUCACUGCAGACUGGCACCCGCCAAGGACCCUACAUGGAUGUCUUCUUAAGUUGUAAACCCUGAGUACAUACUGUUGAAAUAAAAUUGAUAUGCCUUUUGUAAA